rnacentral:rRNA from 1 species
AACGAACGCUGGCGGCGUGGAUAAGACAUGCAAGUCGAACGCUUAUUUACCUGUAGCAAUACAGGUGAGUAGGAGUGGCGCAAGGGUGCGUAACACGUGGGUAAUUUGCCGUGAAGACCGGGAUAACUUGCUGAAAGGCGAGCUAAUACCGGAUGUGGAAAUUGGAAGGCAUCUUUUGAUUUUUGAAGCUGGGGACCGCAAGGCCUGGCACUUUACGAUAAGCCCGCGGCCAUCAGCUAGUUGGUGAGGUAACGGCUCACCAAGGCUAAGACGGGUAGCUGGUCUGAGAGGACGACCAGCCACACUGGAACUGAGACACGGUCCAGACACCUACGGGUGGCAGCAGUCGAGAAUUUUUCUCAAUGGGCGCAAGCCUGAAGGAGCGACGCGCGUGGGGGAUGAAGGGUUUCGAUCCGUAAACCCCUGUCAUUUGCGAACAAACCCUGUGGUUUAAGAGGCGACAGGUUGAUUGUAGCG